GUGUUGAACGUGUGACUGAUGAAGGAGAUAGAAUGGGCAACGUCUCCUUUGAACAGAUACAGUUCUGGAUGAGGGUGACAAAGCUUUUUUAAAGCUGUCACUGGUUUGUCGUCUCUUCCGGGACAUUGUUUGGACAACAAUCAUUCCGGGCCCGGGCACAUUUCGAGUGGCUUGACAGUGUAGUGCCAUGAAAACAUCACAGUGCUGCAUGUAAAGACGAGUUUCGCAGGAUGUACGAACUGCAGUGCUGCCAGAACUGUCAAGAAACUUAUAAAGACUACAUACUGGGCUACGUUGGGCAUGGGAGACGAGGGGAGCUUGUGGCAUUUUACAGCGAAAACGAGCACCCUGGAUUCUGCAGCCAGCUUCAUGAAUGGCUGGGUGUGUGAGUGGCUGGGUGUGUGAGUGGCUGGGUGUGUGAGUGGCUGGGUGUGUGAGUGGCUGAGUGUGAGUGGCUGGGUGUUGCAUUUUUAAAUAAAGACUUCUGUAUUUGUUUGACCAAAGCAUGUAACCAAACAUUUUAAAGGCUAGUGUGCCAAUAAAUGCCAAUAAAGAUAUUGUAUUAGCUUGGACAAA